AUCGUAAUCAAAAUGUACAAAACUCUGAUUUCCAAUAAAUUUCGAUUCAAUACAAUUUGAAACAAGCGAGAAUUCUCUAAACACAAAAAUAUCCAACCAUACUAUAAUCGCAUAUCAUGUACUAAGAAAUAACAAAACUAAUUUAUUUUAUGUCUAACAAAUUCUCAAGUCUCCCAUUGUCGAAAUUCCUCAACGUUGCUUAACUGCACAACUCAAUUAGGUUCUUGGAUGCGAAGUGCUACAAUAGUUUACUAGAAUAGGCUGAAAAUAGCAACAAGUGUUGUUAACUGGUGCCCAAAUAAAUUAAAAUAAAAUUAAGAAAAUGAAAUAAAUUAAAGAAUCAAUUACGAAAACAUUCACUUACUCGAUAUCCGCUACCUGUAAGCAAAAAAAAGGGUAUUUAGUUAAACUUGUUUACUACAAUGUAAUUAUGCUAAUAUCAAUGAAAUGUGAUGCUAUGCAGCUGAACGCGUACAACAUGAAUCACCUGAAACCAUAUCAUCCGAUACACUCACUAGCUCACUAUAUGUGAAUUUUCCUAGCUAUAGAAACCAUAUAAAUCUCACCAGAUGAAUCUUCUUUUUAGAGAUUUCUUAGCGAAAUUAGAAUACUCUGUCUAAGUUCAUGUGCAUCUACAGAUCCAUCCUUUGUCGCAAUUCUCCUUUCGGAUUUGAACAACUUCUACCUUUAGUUUCUCAUUCUCUAUUUU
rnacentral:lncRNA from 1 species